rnacentral:misc_RNA from 1 species
UAGAUAAUGCAUAUUAUCAACACCAAUUCCUUUGUUUAUAGCCUUUAUAUCUUUUGCCGACAUUUUUGUGAACCCAAUGGCCAGAGCGUGCUGCUUUCCUUCAGCCAUUAUUGCCACAGGGGUUUCUUCCAAUACUUCACUGUCCAAAGCACCCCCGGGGGAUGUAAGACCAGGGCACAUUAUAUUUGCACCAGAAAGAACAAAUUUG